UAUUGGACAAUGGGCGCAAGCCUGAUCCAGCCAUGCCGCGUGAGUGAUGAAGGCCUUAGGGUUGUAAAGCUCUUUCGUCCGGGAAGAUAAUGACUGUACCGGAAGAAUAAGCCCCGGCUAACUUCGUGCCAGCAGCCGCGGUAAUACGAAGGGGGCUAGCGUUGCUCGGAAUCACUGGGCGUAAAGGGCGCGUAGGCGGACUCUUAAGUCGGGGGUGAAAGCCCAGGGCUCAACCCUGGAAUUGCCUUCGAUACUGAGAGUCUUGAGUUCGGAAGAGGUUGGUGGAACUGCGAGUGUAGAGGUGAAAUUCGUAGAUAUUCGCAAGAACACCAGUGGCGAAGGCGGCCAACUGGUCCGAUACUGACGCUGAGGCGCGAAAGCGUGGGGAGCAAACAGG
rnacentral:rRNA from 1 species